rnacentral:rRNA from 1 species
GGAAUUGUUCGCAAUGGGCGCAAGCCUGACGACGCAACGCCGCGUGGAGGACGAAGAUCUUCGGGUCGUAAACUCCUGUCGAGCGGGAAGAACCCCGCGGGGCUGAAUAAUCCCUGCGGCUGACUGUACCGCCAAAGGAAGCCCCGGCUACCUCCGUUCCAGCAGCCGCGGUAAUACGGGGGGGGCAAGCGUUGUUCGGAAUUACUGGGCGUAAAGGGCUCGUAGGCGGCCAACUAAGUCGGAGGUGAAAUCCCCAGGCUCAACCUGGGAACUGCAUCCGAUACUGGAUGGCUUGAAUCAGGGAGAGGGAUGCAGAAUUCCAGGUGUAGCGGUGAAAUGCGUAGAUAUCUGGAGGAAUACCGGUGGCGAAGGCGGCAUCCUGGACCGGCAUUGACGCUGAUGAGCGAAAGCCAGGGGAGCAAAC